GAUGAACGCUGGCGGCAGGCUUAGUACAUGCAAGUCGAGGGGUAGCAAGAUUGUAGCAAUACAAUUGUUGACGACCGGCAAACGGGUGCGGAACACGUACACAACCUUCCUACAAGUGGGGAAUAGCCCAGAGAAAUUUGGAUUAAUACCCCGUAACAUAGCGAUGUGGCAUCACAUUGCUAUUAUAGCUUCGGCGCUUGUUGAUGGGUGUGCGGCUGAUUAGAUAGUUGGCGGGGUAACGGCCCACCAAGUCUACGAUCAGUAGCUGAUGUGAGAGCAUGAUCAGCCACACGGGCACUGAGACACGGGCCCGACUCCUACGGGAGGCAGCAGUAAGGAAUAUUGGACAAUGGACGCAAGUCUGAUCCAGCCAUGCCGCGUGAAGGAUUAAGGUCCUCUGGAUUGUAAACUUCUUUUAUAAGGGACGAAAAAAGGUCUUUCUAGAUCGUCUGACGGUACCUUAUGAAUAAGCACCGGCUAACUCCGUGCCAGCAGCCGCGGUAAAAC
rnacentral:rRNA from 1 species